GACGAACGCUGGCGGCGUGCUUAACACAUGCAAGUCGAGCGGUAAGGCCCUUUCGGGGGUACACGAGCGGCGAACGGGUGAGUAACACGUGGGUGACCUGCCCUUAGCUCUGGGAUAAGCCUGGGAAACUGGGUCUAAUACCGGAUAUGACUCCAUGACGCAUGUUGUGGGGUGGAAAGCCUUGUGCGGCUAGGGAUGGGCCCGCGGCCUAUCAGCUUGUUGGUGGGGUGAUGGCCUACCAAGGCGACGACGGGUAGCCGGCCUGAGAGGGCGACCGGCCACACUGGGACUGGGACACGGCCCAGACUCCUACGGGAGGCAGCAGUGGGGAAUCUUGCGCAAUGGGCGAAAGCCUGACGCAGCGACGCCGCGUGA
rnacentral:rRNA from 1 species